rnacentral:snoRNA from 1 species
CUCGGUAUCGCUGGCGCUUCGUUUGCGGCAGCAUUGCCGCUCGCGAGUCAGUGGUAUCCGAAGGAGCAUC